AUAAAAAUGUAUACAUUUCCAGUAGAAUGCAAAAGAGAAUUUCAGGUUGCAACAGCAGACUAUUAUCAGAAUAAGAAGCAUACUUAGGGGGAAAAUUUUCUUGGAGAAAGAGAUACUGAAAGUAAGAUUAGUAGGAUGAGUAAGAGGUUGGUCCUAUAGCAGAAUCAGGGUUGGAGUUCCAAUACCCUGAUUUAAAAUUCAGUUAUCUCUAAUGCAAGACAUGUUAGGAAGGAAAAUUUAGUGAAUGGUCCACUGCAAGUUAUUUCACAUAAUUUCAUCACACAAAUGUUAGAAAUUGAUUUCUAACUGUAGUCUAAUAAUCUAGUAAAUUAAUCCCUAAGAACAUUUUCCCUCUGCUGAGGAAUCACCUUAAAGUGAAGAAAUGUAGCAAAGACGAAAGGGAAAUGGAUAUCUGGUCAUCAAUAAUUUUUCUUCUUUAAUAUAAUUCGACAUUUUCCCAGCCUGGAAGUCUCAUUUUUCAGAAUUCCCUCUUGUUGCUUUCUGAAUUCAUCACGUUCUGCUUAGUGUGCUAGAGAAUACUGACAAAUUGCAUACUUCAGUUUCAUAUGUAAUGUUUUCUCAUAGUCUAUUUUUCUUAUUUUCUGGUUCUAACAGGAGCCAAAAGUGUUUUGAAUAUCUCAUCAUCUCUUCAUUUGUCUUCCCUCUCUAAACGACAGAAAGGGUGGUAAGAAGAGAGAGGGAAGGAGCGAAGAAGUGAGGGGGACAAAGAGAAAGAGAGAGAGAGAGAAAGAAAGAACCUCCGUCUCAUCACAUGGAAACUGAUUUUGUUAUCAAUAGGAAGCGUCAAGACCGACCAGACACUUCAGCAGCCAGAAAAGCAGAUUUACUGCAGCCAUUCUUUCCUGGGCUAUUUAUAGAGACCACGAUUGUUGUCAUCAAAAGUAAGUUUGAAAUCAGACUCUCUUUUGAAUCUCUGUGGGCAUCUUUGAAGCUCUCCUGUGAAUCUCUUUUGGGGUGGCUUUUCCCCUCCUGCUCUUGUAACGCAUCAGGGCCUGGAGGUGGUGCAGGAAUGUCUUUUGCUCCUACUGUCCCUUCCAGAACAUUUUAUUUCCUUUCCAAGCCCUACCCCUCGUGUGUUAAUCUCAUGUCAACAAAUGACACUCAGAUGUAGCCCAUAUACCAAUCUAUCUCCUAACUAAAGUCAGCUUUUUCCUUGAAGAUGUUAAAUCCUGGCUUACUGUCCAUCUCUUCCACAGUACUCCUAUCAUAACUGGGUGUGAUUUCAGUAAUCAUAUAGGUUAUUUUUCUAAACCCCAACAUUUCCAUUUCCUUAACUGUUCUCCUCAAAUGAUAUUUUUUUCCUCUAAACCGUCUCUGACAUUCAUUCCAAUGACUGAAAUCACUCCAUAAUCUUAAAUGUAAGCAUCCUAAUCUCUGAAAGUAUCUGUUAUCUUUUCUGCUCAUUCCUACUAUUGUUCUGACUUAGUGUUUCAACCCCCUUUGAGAAUGGAAUCCAUUGAUUCUACCAGCUUUUUACUUAUCC
rnacentral:lncRNA from 1 species